UACGGAGGAUGCGAGCGUUAUCCGGAUUUAUUGGGUUUAAAGGGUGCGUAGGCGGGAUGCCAAGUCAGCGGUAAAAAUGCGGUGCUCAACGCCGUCGAGCCGUUGAAACUGGCGUUCUUGAGUGGGCGAGAAGUAUGCGGAAUGCGUGGUGUAGCGGUGAAAUGCAUAGAUAUCACGCAGAACUCCGAUUGCGAAGGCGGCAUACCGGCGCCCUACUGACGUUGAGGCACGAAAGCGUGGGUAUCGAACAGG
rnacentral:rRNA from 1 species